rnacentral:lncRNA from 1 species
UCCAGUGCUGCAGUCGCUAUGACCAGAAAUAAAAGAGUUCUUUUUGUUUGUUCCUUUCGUGGCCUUGACGACGUUCUCGGGAGAAGCAGCUCAAUAGUCAAUAUCAGAUGGUUCUAGAAGAGUUGCUUCAUAAGUACCACUGCUGUGAUCUUUUCUGUAGGUUCCCAUGACAAUGCUAUAGGGGCUUUGUUUGUUCAUGGGAACUUGAGGAACACAGGGAAUUCUUGUUCAAUAAUGAACGCAAUGCGGCUUGGAAAAGACUCUUGGUAGACACGAACAAAAAAGUAUAGCCAGAGCAGCCUUCAGAAAUCAUUCCUGCAGUUUUUGGAAGCGUUUCUCAAGGUCUGAAUGGAGGCUGUGAAGUUACUAACAAAAUGAACAGGCUCUGCUUUUCAUAAUUGGCUUCAUGACUGUGGGUUUUGGCAACAACUCUAGAGGAACACAGGGCCCGGAAGAGGGGCACAAUGAAGCCACUCACUGUAAUAACUUAAGCAACAACAAUGCACCUUUUCAGAUUAAUGCCAAGAAAAUAUAUGCAGAAGAGACACCCAUGUCAUUGAACAAGAGGUUCUAAUAUUACAUAACAGGGUAGUGGUAUGUAGCUGUAGUGGUAUGUGCUCUCUCUCAAUGCUGAGCUGCAGCUCCCAGUCAGCCACUGGAUCAUGAGGGUAAAAUACGGAUACUUGACAUCUUCUUAAAGAACAUCAUGCCUGCUAAGCCAUCCAGUUUGGAUGCCCCAGUGCCUUCCACCAGCCAUUCUCAAGCCUCAUUAGAAGAGAGAGAUUGAUGACCCUGUAGCUGCAGCAUCCCAUCAUCCUGCAUUUUAGUUCAAUGCUUCAAACGUUCUUCAGGCCCAGUGUGCUUUCAGCUGUGUAUGUUAAUGGGAGAGUGAGCAAGUUUCGUCCUUGUGCCUGCAUCUGCUGGGAAACGAUAAGAGCCCAACAUAUGUUAGAAGCAACAAUCGCAGACAAAGAGUACAACUUGUUUUUGAAGACUCAAACUGAAACACUGGCCCUUCCUGAGUCUCAAGCCUGCUGGCCUUUGGGCUGGAACUAAACCCUCAGCUCUCCUGUGUCUCCAACCUGCCCGCUCUGCCUAGUGAUCUUGGGACUUCCCAGACUUUAUAAUCAUGUGCAUCUCCUGCUGUUCCCAAUCUACUCAUCCUAGGAACCAACUCAGGCUACAAACCUGUACAGCAUGUGAUUCUACUGAAUAUACGGGCAAUUGUUAACACAAUGAUGUGAUGACUGAUUUCCAGCAGCUGAAGGGAAGUCUUUUGGAUUAACUUUUGUGAUUGAUUUGCUCUGGGUUCAGUCAGCCUGCAAGG